rnacentral:rRNA from 1 species
AGCAGCCGCGGUAAUUCCAGCUCCAAUAGCGUAUAUUAAAGUUGUUGCAGUUAAAAAGCUCGUAGUUGAAUUUCGGGAUCAAGGAAUCGGUCAUGCCUCGGUAUGUACUGGUUUUAUUGGUUCUCACCUUCUAAAGAACCAUAAUGUCAUUUAUUUGAUGUUAUGGGGAAUUAGGACUGUUACCUUGAAAAAAUUAGAGUGUUUAAAGCAGGCUCACGCUUGAAUACAUUAGCAUGGAAUAACGAAAUAGGACGUUUGAUUCUAUUUUGUUGGUUUCUAGGAUCGACGUAAUGAUUAAUAGGGAUAGUUGGGGGCAUUAGUAUUCAAUUGUCAGAGGUGAAAUUCUUGGAUUUAUUGAAGACUAACUACUGCGAAAGCAUUUGCCAAGGAUGUUUUCAUUAAUCAAGAACGAAAGUUAGGGGAUCGAAGACGAAUCAGAUACCGUCGUAG